AGGAACUGUUUUUCUCCCCACCUAACUUAAAGUUAAAAUGUAUGAAGCUUUUCUUUGUUUGGUGUCUUAUUUCUUCCUAUGAAGUAUUGUUGCACUGUACAGUAUUUCUAUGUUGUACCAUAUUUAUUUUCAACUGCACACUGAUUAAAAUUUGAAAACACAAAUCUUACCAUAAGAAAUAUAAUCUAGGGGUUGUAACGGAUAAAUGGCAAUUCCAUUCAUUUCAAU